rnacentral:rRNA from 2 species
AGAGUUUGAUCCUGGCUCAGGACGAACGCUGGCGGCGUGCCUAAUACAUGCAACUCGAGCGGACCGACGGGAGCUUGCUCCCUUAGGUCAGCGGCGGACGGGUGAGUAACACGUGGGUAACCUGCCUGUAAGACUGGGAUAACUCCGGGAAACCGGGGCUAAUACCGGAUGCUUGAUUGAACCGCAUGGUUCAAUCAUAAAAGGUGGCUUUUAGCUACCACUUACAGAUGGACCCGCGGCGCAUUAGCUAGUUGGUGAGGUAACGGCUCACCAAGGCGACGAUGCGUAGCCGACCUGAGAGGGUGAUCGGCCACACUGGGACUGAGACACGGCCCAGACUCCUACGGGAGGCAGCAGUAGGGAAUCUUCCGCAAUGGACGAAAGUCUGACGGAGCAACGCCGCGUGAGUGAUGAAGGUUUUCGGAUCGUAAAACUCUGUUGUUAGGGAAGAACAAGUACCGUUCGAAUAGGGCGGUACCUUGACGGUACCUAACCAGAAAGCCACGGCUAACUACGUGCCAGCAGCCGCGGUAAUACGUAGGUGGCAAGCGUUGUCCGGAAUUAUUGGGCGUAAAGCGCGCGCAGGCGGUUUCUUAAGUCUGAUGUGAAAGCCCCCGGCUCAACCGGGGAGGGUCAUUGGAAACUGGGGAACUUGAGUGCAGAAGAGGAGAGUGGAAUUCCACGUGUAGCGGUGAAAUGCGUAGAGAUGUGGAGGAACACCAGUGGCGAAGGCGACUCUCUGGUCUGUAACUGACGCUGAGGCGCGAAAGCGUGGGGAGCGAACAGGAUUAGAUACCCUGGUAGUCCACGCCGUAAACGAUGAGUGCUAAGUGUUAGAGGGUUUCCGCCCUUUAGUGCUGCAGCAAACGCAUUAAGCACUCCGCCUGGGGAGUACGGUCGCAAGACUGAAACUCAAAGGAAUUGACGGGGGCCCGCACAAGCGGUGGAGCAUGUGGUUUAAUUCGAAGCAACGCGAAGAACCUUACCAGGUCUUGACAUCCUCUGACAACCCUAGAGAUAGGGCUUCCCCUUCGGGGGCAGAGUGACAGGUGGUGCAUGGUUGUCGUCAGCUCGUGUCGUGAGAUGUUGGGUUAAGUCCCGCAACGA